rnacentral:misc_RNA from 1 species
CCUGAACUCCAAAAUGCAAGGGCUGCAAUCCGUUGGGCUACAGAUUAUCUUCUGAAAUGCGCCACAGCCACCCCUGGAAAACUCUAUGUUGGCGUAGGUGAUCCUAAUGUUGAUCAUAAAUGCUGGGAGAGGCCUGAGGACAUGGACACUGUCCGUACAGUGUACGCGGUGUCUCCAAGCAACCCUGGCUCUGAUGUUGCAGGUGAAACUGCUGCUGCUCUAGCUGCUGCUUCCUUGGUUUUUCGGAGAGCUGAUCCAGCAUACUCCAGGUUGCUAUUGAGCACUGCUAAGAAGGUUAUGCAAUUUGCAUUGCAAUAUCAGGGUGCUUAUAGUGAUUCACUUGGAUCAGCUGUUUGCCCUUUUUAUUGCUCAUAUUCUGGCUAUAAGGA